rnacentral:rRNA from 1 species
UACGUAGGGUGCGAGCGUUAAUCGGAAUUACUGGGCGUAAAGUGUGCGCAGGCGGCACCGCAAGUCGAGUGUGAAAGCCCCGGGCUUAACUUGGGAAUUGCGCUCGAAACUAUGGUGCUGGAGUGUGGCAGAGGAAGGUGGAAUUCCACGUGUAGCGGUGAAAUGCGUAGAGAUCCGGAAGAACACCGGUGGCGAAGGCGGUUGGCUGGGCCAUAGCUGACACUGAGGCGCGACAGCGUGGGGAGCAAACAGG